UACUUUAAUUUAUUUUAACUUAUGAUACAUAUUUUACUAUUAUUGUUUUCUUUUAUAUAUAUAUAUAUAUACAUACAUACAUACACACAUAUAUAAUAAUAAAAUUUUAUGCCGUGGAAUAAAAAGUUAUAUCUCGGGAUGUAACAGUCCUCCCUCCUUAAAUUAUUUAUCGUCUCGAUAAAUUGUUUAUGUUAAAUUAAUUUGUUUUGUUACAAUAAGGUUUGAACAAUUAAAGAUACAUAAUAGAUAAGGAAUUGCAGACUCUAUGAUUCUCGUAUGUUUUGAAAUGUAUACAGUGUAGUGUCUAAGUGUUAUGUGUAACCUUAUCCUUAAGGUAAGUAGUAAUGUAUAUUCUGUAACCUUUGGCUGAUUUGCACGUUUACGAAUUUUUGUAAUUCUUCAUCGCUGUCAAUUUUUUUGUCCUGGUUUGUCACGUACGCAUAGGGUGUGUAUUCAGUAUUGUUUGUGCAAUCUCUUUGUAAAGAUGUCGGAAAGCUGUUCAUCAACAACUUCAACAGUUUUGUGGAGGGAUAUUGAUAGUGGGGAUGUUCCCUUGGAUCUGUCUGUUUGUACUCCAUCUUCUAAUAGUUAGUAUUAAUUGGAUUUUCUUUAAUUAAUGACUGCAUUAAUUAUGAGUGAAUCAUUAAGCGUUUGGACCGAAGAAGAUAGUGUUUUGUUUCUAAAUUCUGUUCCAUUUCUUUUUGAUUCAGUUAAUUCAAGUGCCUCGAAUUUUGAGGAUUUUGUCAAUAAUUUCGAUCUUGAACCUUUUAAUGAUGCGAUUAAUCCUCAGCUUUCCAAUCUUGAACCCUUUAAUGAUGCGAUUAAUCCUCAGUUUUCCAAUCUUGUGAGUCAUGAGGACUCCGUGCCUAGGUGGAAAGCUAUUUCCCUCAGAUUAUCUCGUGUUGAAGAUAGAUUAGGCCUCUUUUACGUGGCUUUUUGGAGAUCGACAGCAGAAACUGCUGUCGAUCGUAUGACCGUUUUCUGUCGAGACAAACUAAACUUAACAGUGACAAUUAAUGACUUUAAAGUUGUUCAAAAACUAGACCAUCGACGUCGCGGAGUUUUAUUACAAGUUUCGUCUCGUGAACUACGUGAAUUAAUUAUAGCUAAUAGUUCUUUGUUUAUUGAGGAGGAACUGAAUGUGGCGCGCGAAUAAUAAUUGUCUUUUCUCUUUUCUUUUUAUGUUGCAGCCAAUCUAGUUGCAGAACAUCCAUAUGAAUUGAAUCAUUUCCUUUAUAAAGUUAACGCAUUGUCAGUUUCAUUAUUGCAUAAUAUGCAAGUGGUGGACAACAUCGAGAGACUUACGUUGGUCGAUGAAAAGAGAAAAAGGGGUCGCCCUAGUAAAAAGGCUCAACAGCGAUACAAAAAUUUGGAAUUAAUACGUUUAUCACAGCUGGAGCAAGCAAAAAAAGAAAGCAUGGAGGAAGCUUUUGAGUUAAAUAGAUCCAUUACUAAUUUUAUGUGGGGUUUUCCUAGAGUCAUAGAUUCCUUGACUUCGUCUUCAAAUACGGAAAGUGCUGGUCCUUCAGAUGUUAAAAUCUGUUCCUGUGGUCGAAUUUAUCCACCAACAUAUCUGUAUGGAAACUGUCUUUGUGGAGAAUUAUUUGCCUUCAACUCAGAGGAUGAUUAAUUUUUGUGCUUUUUCUCACAUACAUAUUACACAACGCAAUAUUUACACAAUUUACACAUUUAUAUGAUAUCGUUGAUGUUAAAAUAAAACAUUUAUAUCCUUCUGUACUUCUUGUUUCUCUUAUUUGUUUACCCCAAAAUAUUAUAAUUAAUGUCAUUCAAUUGUAAAACUUUAUAAUAAUUUAUUCAUAAUAGUAAUUAUUUUGUAAUUUUAAUUUUUAAAGAAAAAGAAGGAAUAAGAAAUUUUUAUAUAUUUGAGUUAGAGCAUGCGCACUUAGUUUUAUUUUGAUUCAUACAUAUAUACACAUACAUAUAUAUAUACAUAUACAUAUAUAUACAUACAUCAAUCUCUUAAUAUAUCUAUAUAUUAAUAUAUUUUGUUUUGAUCAAGAUUGAAUUUUUUAGUUUUAAUUUAAUGAUUUAUAAUUUUUAUGUUUACUUAUAAGUGGUUUUAUCAGUUAUACGUUAUUUAAGGUUAACUAAUAAUUUCAAUCAUGAUUUAUUUUUAUUAAGUAUAGUUCACUGAAUAAUAUUGUGACUAUCUUGAACGGUUCUUAUUAGAUUGUAUUUCUGACGUAUAGUAUACAGCGCUGAAGUAUCGAAUGACGGUCGAGUCGAUCGAUAGUUGCGUCGAUAUACGGUCUGGACACGUUCGAAUGACGUACCAGGUCGGUGCGCGUGAAGCGGUUGGGUUGCUACGGUGCGAACGGGGAGUGAGAUAAAGAGUACGCGAUACAUGGUUUCGAGCGCGAGAGGAUCGAUGGUUGCGGUCGAUAUACGGAUGACGUCAAAAACCUUUGCUGUAGCGUCUAUGUUGUAAUUGAGGCUUUCUUUAAGAGUAAAACAUGAUAUUUUUUUUUUUUUUUUUUUUUUUUUUUUUUUUUUUUGAAAUUUUGAAAUUUUUGUGGCCAGUCCUCCCUCCUUAAAACUUCCAUUGUCCUCAAUGGUUUUUAGAUAUGGGACGGGUUAUUUGAUCUGCGUCUCCUCAUCGAAAUUACUUUGUAGCAAAUAUAUAGGUUUUUAAUAACUAUUAUUGCUAAUAAUAAUAAUAGUAGUUUAAAAGCAACGGAAAUGUAAUCCAUUGUCUCAGAGAUGGAACCCAGGAUUGGAAUAUUCAUCUGUGGAGUGAAAAAAUUUUUUUUUUUUAUUAAUAUCUUGUUUUUGAAAUUGUGUCAUAUAAGGAAUUUUAAAAUUUUUAUCUUUCUAGGGACUUUCAAAUAUUAUAGUUAAUUGUAAUUAAUUAUUGUUUAUUGUUAGUAGUAUUGUUUGAUUCGGAUUUUUAUAUAAUUCGCUGUGCUAAUUUAUCGAUAUAAAUAUCUUUCGAUAUAUCGAUGAGUGAUAUCUAAAGAUUUAUUCACUUUUGGUUCUUUUUAUGAAUUUUGUCCUUAUUAAUUAUCUUUUUAUUAAUAAUUUAUUUAUUCUGUUGUUAAUUAAAUUAUCUAAUUGUUAUUAAAUAGAGAACUUAAUUAUUUACUAGCUUAUUUGAUGAAAGAAUUCGAACGAUAUAUCGAUCGAUAUAUCGAUAGAUAUAUUGAAUUAAGUACUAGUAGUGAAGUCGAUAAUUUAAUUAAUUAAUUGUAUUAAUAAUUGAUUAUUAAUUAUAUGCUUUUAUUAUUAGUGUUAUUUUAUUAUUAACAACUUGUAAAAUUUUUUUUUUUUUUUUUUUUUUAAAUUUUUUUUUUUUUUUUUUUUUU